rnacentral:lncRNA from 1 species
CGAUUCCAGUUUUCAGUAGAGAAAGCAAAAGCAGUGAUAACUUGUAUUCCAAGUUUGGUAGAAACAUUACAAAUAUUCAUAAGAUUAGGAGUAAUAAAUUUGUAACCCUCUUGCACAGGUAAUCCUCUAGCUUUAGCCCAUCUUCUGUGCCCAUCCAUUAUUAUAGCGACGUGUUUAGGGGUAAAUUCUGGAUGAACUAAUUGAUCAUCAUGCCUCAAACUCUUGGAGAAAUGGCCAUACCUAAAUAUAUCUGAUGAUUUCGUCGAUAGAAGACGACGAUCCAAAUUACAUGAUACUGGGAAGAACUGGGCUUGGGGGAGUACUAACAAAGAACUCAUUUAAUUUUCACUAAUCUUUGUUUGUACAUGGGUGUUGGCGGGUACAGAUGCACCAAAUAAAUAGGCAUAUGAAGUGAGUUACACCCACUGUUUUCAAUUUAUACAACACAUUUUAAAAGAUAUAUUGUUAAUCUGUCUAAUAGAAAAUGUCAUAUUUUUAUAAUUGAAAACAAUUUUAUUUCAAAAUAUGUUUAUAAAGUUAGAUUGCAUUAAAAUUAACAACACAAUUCUUUUAUGUUUCAUUAUAGAACGACUUUAAUUAAUUAGAGAAUAAUAAUUGAUCUAUGACUAUUUUACUAUACUAAUCAUAUUAAUUAAUGUUUAAUAUUUGGUCUUGAAAAAUAAGUAACUAAUACGAAAAAAUAAAUUUAAAGGAUAUAAAAGCCGAUUGAUCAAUAUUUAAAAGAUAUUUUGAUCAAAUACUUUUGGCACUCUUAAAUAAAUAAUUAGACUAGUAUAAUUUAGUAAAUAGUUAAUUGACAAGUCAUUUGGUUCGAUAAUCCAAUUCUUUUAAGAGCCACUAUACCACGUACACUUGCGUGUGCAAUUGGAGCAACACACAGAGUAUCACAGUGAGAAAUAUCCUCUUCCUUUUUGCUUGUUGAAUCUUUACUACCAUUAACCAAGGAAGGGAGGAAAAAAUUCUGUCCAUCAUCAAUUACAAUAGGGAGGAAAAUCUAGAAUUUUUAUCAUUUUCCAUGUUUCCACUGCUUGUUUUAUAUUUUUCCAUUUUGGCUAAAAUAUUCCAUUUCCUGCUGAGACAUAAUUUUUUUUGCUUCCCUACUAAACUACAUGAAAGUUAUAAAAAAAACCCAGCAAUGCUGGUGUUUAUGCCAAAUCUUCAUAUGUAUAACUAGCAUUGCUAUCCCUUUUCCUUUGUAAGUUAGCCAUAAUCCUGAUUUAUGGGAACCAAUAUGGAAAUGUUCAAAGCCUUUUUAAAAUGAAUCAAACUAUGAACAAUUGAAGAUAGUAAAUAUGCUCGUACUUUUUUCUUAUCUCAUGUGGUAGUGUAAAUAAGUGCUACUUUGGAAUCAUGGAAAGGAAGGAUUGCAUAAAGAUAAAUUGCAUAUUUGUGUUUUCAUUGGAUCAUUUUGGUUAGUGAUUGCAUUGAGGACAUAUUGCAAUAAGCUCCAGACUUCACUUAUUUUUCUAAAAUAUAUUUCUUAGAAAACAUUUUUCAUAAAACACAUUUUCCUUCAUACCAAACCCAUCAUACGUCAGAUUGAAAUGAAAGGUUCUAAGUGAAAGAGAAAUGAAUAUGACCGACCAUGUGCUUCUUUUUUUGACAACUCAACAAGAUAUUUUAUUUUAUUUUUUAUAACCGAAAAAUCCGUUUGUGACCCGUCCUUUGGACCAAUCACAACCUUCUAAACUCGGUGGAUAAUGGGUCCACCCCUCUACCUUUCUCCACUUAAAUACCAGGCUUCGCUUUGCAUGGUGUGGGGUUUGAACUUGUGACCUAAGCCACAAAUCCUCCACCUUUUGCCACUUGAGCUAGGCCUUGGGGGCUGAAAGGUUCUAAGUGAAAGAGAAAUGAAUAUGACCAUGUGCUUCAAUUUUUGACAACUCAACAAGAUAUAUAUUUUUUUUAUAACCGAGAAAUCCGUCUGUGACCUGCCCUUUGGACCAAUCACAGCCGUCUAAACUCGGUGGAUAAUGGGUCCACCCCUCUACCCCUCUCCACUUAAAUAUCAGGCUUCGCUUUGCAUGGUGUGGGGUUUGAACUUGUGACCUAAGCCACAAAUCCUCCACCUAUUGCCACUUGAGCUAGGCCUUGGGGCCUGAAAGGUUCUAAGUGAAAGAGAAAUGAAUAUGACCANNNNNNNNNNNNNNNNNNNNNNNNNNNNNNNNNNNNNNNNNNNNNNNNNNNNNNNNUUUUUUUUUGAUAACCGAGAAAUCCGUCUGUGACUCACCCUUUGGACCAAUCACAGCCUUCUAAACUCGGUGGAUAAUGGGCCCACCCCUCUACCCUUCUCCACUUAAAUACCGGGCUUCGUUUUGCAUGGUAUGGGAUUGAACCUGCGACCUAAGCAACAAAUCCUCCACCUUUUGCCACUUGAGCUAGGCCUUGGGGGCUAAAAGGUUCUAAGUGAAAGAGAAAUGAAUAUGACCACGUGUUUCAAUUUUUGACAACUCAACAAGAUAUAUUUGUUUUUUAGAACCGAGAAAUUCAUCUGUGACCCGCCCUUUGGACCAAUCACAGCCUUCUAAACUCAGUGGAUAAUGGGGCCACCCCUCUACCCUUGUCCACUUAAAUACCGGGCUUCGCUUUGCAUGGUGUGGGGCAUGAACCUGCGACCUAACCCACGAAUCCUCUACCUUUUGACACAUGAGCUAGGCCUUGGGGGCUGAAAGGUUCUAAGUGAAAGAGAAAUGAAUAUGACCACGUGCUUCAAUUUAUGACAACUCAACAAGUUUUAUUUUUUUUUGAUAACAGAGAAAUCCGUCUGUGACCCGCCCUUUGAAUCAAUCACAGCCUUCUAAACUCAGUGGAUAAUGGGCCCACCCCUUNNNNNNNNNNNNNNNNNNNNNNNNNNNNNNNNNNNNNNNNNNNNNNNNNNNNNNNNNNNNNNNNNNNNNNNNNNNNNNNNNNNNNNNNNNNNNNNNNNNNNNNNNNNCACAAAUCCUCCACUUUUUGCCACUUGAGCUAGGCCUUAAUUGGGGGUUGAAAGGUUCAAAGUGAAAGAGAAAUGAAUAUGACCAUGUGCUUCAAUUUUUAACAACUCAAGAAGAUAUAUAUUUUUUUUUUAUAACCGAGAAAUUCAUUUGUGACCCGCCUUUUGGACCAAUCACAGCCUUCUAAACUCGGUGGAUAAUGGGGCCACCCCUCUACCCUUGUCCACUUAAAUACCGGGCUUCGCUUUGCAUGGUGUGGGGCAUGAACCUGCGACCUAAGCGACAAAUCCUCCACCUUUUGCUACUUGAGCUAGGCCUUGGGGGAUGAAAGGUUCUAAGUGAAGGAGAAAUGAAUAUGACCAUGUGCUUCAAUUUUUGACAACUCAACAAGAUAUUUUAGAUGUCCUUAAUUUGUUGCAUUAUCUUUAACUUUAGUUGGAUCCACGAAAUAAAAAUUUAAAACCACACAUUCGUAUAUUCUCUAAUAUCACACAUAAAUAACCUCAAUUGAUAUUAUUAUUUAUUAUUUAAAUAAAUUAAUAAUAAUUUCAAUACAUGGCGUUUAGGUGUGAUAAGAGACUAAACAAAUGUGUAUGUGCAGAAACUCAACUAGAAUUUAGAACUUUUUUAGUUCAAACUAACCAUCAAACUUAUAAUCAUACAUAUAUUUAAUAAAUAUCUUAAUACAAAUACAUAAUAAAAAUUAAAAUUAUUGAGUUCGUCUAAAUUUUAAGAGCCAUAUUUGUCAAUAUGUUUAACGUAUACAAUUCUAUAAUCUUAGUACAAUGCAUUUAAAUCUGACGAUUAUGGGACAACUCUUUUAGAAUGUUUUAAACUAAAAGAGGAGCAAAUGAGAGAGAAUUUUUUUUUAAUUACAACCGCUUUAUAGAAAUUCUAAAUAGUUGUCAAAACUCAAACCUAUAAAGUUACGAACUUCAUAAUAUUAACCUUACAAGAUUAAUGAGUUUUCUCAAACCUACUAAAAAUGUGGCAUAAUUAAAAUUCACAGAAAAUACGAGAACACAAAGCAACAGAAGAUAUAAGAGGCCGACAUUUUAUUAACCACUCAAGAGUUUGAAGUGCCUGUCGACAUGUUUUUCGGACACUUUUGAGUGUUGCUAAAUGACCACAAUUAUGUUGCCCAAAAAUGACCACAAAUAUAAAAGGGAAAAAAACACUUUUGGUAGACGGUGAGGUUUUAUUGAUAAAUCAUGAAAACAUUUAAAUUUAUAAUAUGUUGAUCAAGUCGAAUUGUUGAUUAAUAUUUUAAGUCAAAAAUAUAUAAUUUAAAUAAAGUUCAAAUUAUAUUUGGGCAAGUCUAUUAAGUUGACAAGACGAGCCCAACUCACAAUCUUCAAGCCCAAGGUCCUCUAAAUUACUUGGACCAAAAUACCCUAAAACCCGCUAGCUCACUCCUAUAUAAAGGGGUCUUCAUAAGAUCAGAACACACAAACAAAAAUACAUAGAUAAUCAAUGCGCUUCAAUGAUGAUCCACAAGUCUUUCGCAUACAAUGAAGUCUUUGCUCCAAGUGAUGAGCCGCAAGUAUUUCAUCAAGUCAAGAACAAUUGUGAAGAGAAGAAUCAGCGGAUUACAUAUCUUUUCUUAAAGAUUUCAUAAAGAUUGUAACAUUCGCACAAAUUCAAAUUCAAAUAUUAUUGUUUGGUUGCUAUUUUCCUUUCUUGUUUGUUGUAUUUUAGGAUAACACCAAAACCUGGUUAUCACAUGUUCAAGGCGCCAAUGUAUUAAUGCAGAAUUGAAAGAUAAGUACAAGUCUCAAUGUCGUCUUUGUAUCUCGAAUAGAACAAAACAUAAUGUAAGGAACAAGAGGGCCCGCCGAAAAGACAAGCAGUUACCUCUCAAUGUAUCCUCAGCCUCGGAAAUAGAUGAAAGAGAAAUGUCACACGAAUCUGGACUCGAAACCUACAUAGUGUAGUAGCUAGGAGUGAGUACCAAAACAACACGGUACUCAACAAAUAAACCACUAAAAUAAGGUAAAACUAGCUAGAAAACGAAAAACUCCUUUCAGCCCAACCAAACCCCCAAAACUACAACCUGCAUAUAUAAAAGCAGCACAGCCUAACAAUUCACAGUAAAUAGCUCACAAGGUUCCAUAGUCUCACAUCAAUAGUUACACAUCGUCAAAUCACAAGUAUCAAGUCAUCAAUCAUAAGAAAUAAGAUUAUCGAGUACAACAAUCAAGUAUACCAAAUACAAGUAUCAAGAUUAUCAUGCACAAUUUACAAUCGGGACUCAUGGGGACUACUCAUAACCAAGGUACUUAUCGGCAAUGACCUCGGCAUCACAAUACUCACCGGCAAUGACACUGGCAUCAAUAACACUCAUCGAAAAUAACCUCGAUAUCAAUAACACUCGUCGGUAAUGACCUCGACAUCAAUAAUACUCCUUGGCAAUGACCUCAACAUCAAUAACAUUCGCGGGAAAUACCCAACAUCAAUCACAAUAACAUCUCACAGUGUUCUAGAACUAAUGCAAAUAGUCUUGUUCACGCAAUAAUGAAGAGAUGGCAAUUUCAAGCAAUUCACAUCCACACAAUACUAUCAAGUAUCACAUCAAUCAGCGAAUCAAUAUCAAUACUCAAGACAAUUCACAAUGCAAACACCAUUAUCAACAUGUUGUCUUUUUUUCAUUAACCCCACCUUUAUCAUUAUGGUUAUUCAAUUUGAGCAAUUUAACCCAUCACCUUAUUUUUAUUACUCCCAACACAUAUAAGAAAAAGAGUUCAAAAUUCCACAAGUCUUAAUAAGAUUUAGAAGUUCACUAGCCUCAAUUCAAUUAAAAGUCAAUUCAAGACUUGAGCCUUUCCUUUCCGAACAAUAUCCAAAGUCACAAAAUUUAAUUCAAUCAAGUAAUCACAAUAAGAUUUCGGAAAUAACAACACCCAUAGCAUACACUUUGAAAAAUGGGUCAAGUCAGCUAAAAAUUCAAUUCCAAAAAUGAGGUUUGAACCCAAAAUCUUUACUUGAAAAUGUCGCCCAAGGCAUUUGAAACUCAUUGGUGAAAAUCAUUCCAAAAAAGGAAUUAAAAUCAGUUCAAAAUCACCAUUUAAUUUUACUUUACAACUCAAGUUCUUGAAAAACAUUGCCAUUUGCCAAUCAAAAUCUCAAAUUUUGGUGUUAAAAUCCAUGAAUGACAUGAUGGAAUUGAAAUUUUAGGGUCACAAAAGCUUACCCAAAUGAUUAGCACAAGAGAUCUCUUCAAAAUUACCUCCAAGGAUUUUUCAUAACUCAAAAUGGAAAAAAAUGGGGGUAAAACCCCAUAAUGGCACAUAAAAAACCCUUUUUUAAGUCGCUUAAGCAAACCCUGAGAAAUACUCGACCCUCGCUUUCGCAGACUGGCCUUCACUUUCGCGAACUGGCAUUCGCUAAUGCAAAGAUCGCGAUCGUGAACAAGCCUUCGCUUCUGCGAAGGUCUGACUUGAUCCUUUGCAAAAGCGAACCGGUCUUCGCUAAUGUGACCCUCACAAAAGCGAAGACCCUUCGCAAUCGCGAGGUAGCAAACAACAGAAUAAACAACUAACUUUCAAAUCAUCAAAUGGACUUUCGGGAUUCGUUCGAAACCCCUACACACGAACCAUUUAUGAAAUUUGACUCUACUCGAUGCUCCGAACUCAAUGGAACCAUCAAAACACGAAUUUGAGGUCUCCUUGACCUAAAACUCGCGAAAGUCACAAGAAACGAACAUGACGCCUAAAAAGGCUAAAUCAAGCUCGGGACCUCCAAAAAUUCAACCAAGACCUCCUCUAAGUCUAAAAUCAUCCUCUGAAUCAAAUAGAACUCUCGAAAUUCCAAUUUGAGUAUCCGAACCCCGAAUGUUGACCAAAGUCAAUCCAAAUACUAAAAUUUCACAUUUUCCAACUUAGGACCGCAAAUCCUCAAAAAGACUCCGAAUUUGCAACCGAUGACUCUUUGACUCUAAUUUCCAUAUUUCGAGACUGAUGGAAUCGACAAAAUUUCAUUUCGAUACUCGAAUCUCUAAAAGACACCGGAACCACUUUUUAACAACUUAGCCAUUUGAAUUUUAAAAAAAUUAUAAUUCACAACUUUUUACUCAAGCUCAAAAUCAAUUUCAAAAUUCUAUCAGAAAUGAAUUGGGAUUAAUAUCAAGAGGGAUAAAACGCUUUACGAAAAUUUUGAAAAAUGACCAUCCGAAUCAUUACAAUUAUUAAAUUUAUAGUUAGAUAUUUAUACAUAUUUAAUAGGUGUUCUAAUACAAAUACUCCCUCCGUCCCCAUAUUAUAAGUCACCUUUUUCAUUUGCACUUGCAUUAAGAAAUAAGGUAAUUUUACCGUUAUGCCCUUAUUUAAUGUUUGCUUAUGACAACUUUGUAAUAAAUGAUGAAAUGUUAAAUUUAAAAAAUAUAAAUAGCAUUUGGAUGACUAUUUAAAUUUUACUUUUUGGAGCCAAAAUUUUUUUCACCAAUUGAUCCAAAAAUUUAAAAAACAAAGUUUUUUCCACCUCAAUUUUCCUAUAUAUUUUGUGUAAAAUGUUUUUUAUAGUUUUAUAUAUAAAUUCUUAAAGCAAACAUGACAACAUCACAAAAUAUUCAAAUUCCAUUACUUCAAAUUGAUCUAAACUUUCCUGCUGAAUCUGAUGUUAUUGAUAAUGAAAUUAGACGACAAAUGAAUUUUAGUUCUAGUUCGACAAAUCAUUUGUUUUUUUAUUUAAACACAGAGGCGCAUGUUGAAGAAGAUUUGAAUACAAAUAUUGGUUUGUUGUUUUGUUUAAAAUUUUGGUUCAUAUUUUAAUUGUUUUAUUUAUAUUUUUAUGCUUAAUUCAUUUUUACAGUACCAUUUGAAGGGCUGCAAACUGCAGCAGAAGAAGAUAUAUUAUCGGAAGAGUCAAAUACAAAUAUUGGUCUGUUGAAAUUUCUGUUAUUUUUUUAUUUCACAUUUCAUUAAUUCCUGUUUAACUACAUUAGAGAUGAUUCAUUUAGUUGUAACCUCCAUUUUAUCUUUUGUGUUCAUAAUUUUUUUUCUUUUUCAAUAAAUAACAGAUGAAAACUUAAAUGAUGACAACGUAAACGAAGAGUCAUCAGGAUCAGCAAUGACAAGAAAAUUAUUAAAUAAUGAUGAGCGGAGAGCAUUAUAUGAAAUGCUACUCAGAAAGAGUAUCAAUGGAAAAUUGUAAAAAACUGAUCAGCGUGUGAUUAGAAAAUUAUUAAAGAAUAUUUUUCAUCUUUUAUUUUAAUUGUUUGUUGAUAUUUUUUUUAAAACAAGAUUUUAUAGAAUAAGUAGUGAAUAAAGAAAGUAGUUAAUUAAUGAAUGAAGUACUCUCCCAAUGAAAUUAAUUACUUGUAAAUUUCCUAGGUUAGUCAAAGUAAAUAUUUUUCAAGAUUAAUUAAUUAAUCAAUCAAGGGUAUAAUGGGUAAAAUAUGGUAAUUUAUGCAUAAAUUUUAUAAAAUGACAUAUAUUAUGGUCCAACUAUUUUUAGAAAGGGGUGACUUAUAAUAUAGGACAGAGAGAGUACAAAAUAAAAAUUAUUGAAUCCGUCCAAAUUUUAACUAAUACUCUCUUUUCGCCCUUGUAUAUAUGGCAUAUUUGUAUGGCCGCCGAUAGAGCUAUCUUUGUCAAUGUGUCUAACGUUCUUCAUAAUCUUAGUACAGUACUAUUUAUUAGAUGUGAGGCGUAUGGGGACAAUCUCCAUGUGAACCAUAUAAAGAAAAGACAUAAUAUCAUACACUUGUGAGGUAAUUAGAUGCUUUGAAGGGAACCGUGGCUAGAAUUUUUACUAUUAUAGAAGAGUGACUUUAAUUUUGGAAUCAACAUGUGUGCUUUGUCAUUUCAUGAUUGGUUGUUUUUUUUUUUUUUGUUUAUUCCAUAUUGCAUAAUAUUAAGAGAUCCACAAAAUUAUCUAUGCACAAUUAUUAAUGAAUCUAUUCCUUUGUACUAUUUGUUCAUAUUUUUAUUUACAAAGUUUUAAAAAAAAUCAUAAACAAAAAGAGCACUUUACUAAUUUACCUUUUAAUUCUUUUUAAUAUUUUUUCGUUUACUUUUUACUUAUCACAUUUGAACUUGACAUAUUCAUUAAAAAAACAAUGAUUGACAUGAUUAUUGAAGAGUAUUUUUACUAAUUUACCUUUCAAUUAUUUUUAAUACUUUUUUUCGUUUACUUUUUACUUAUCACAUUUGAACUUGACGUAUCCAUUAAGAAAACAAUGAUUGACAUGACUAUUUUACCACAUUAACCCUAAUAAGUAGUAAUAAUUGAUGUUAGUAUUGUUGGAUAUUUUGUAAUAUAUAAAAGUCUUAAAUUAAACAAAUUGUUCAUGAAAGAACAUGAUUCUUAUAAAAAGACAUUUGAUCAUGAAAGAACAUGACUCUUAUGAAAAGUCAUACGUUCAUGAUAGAACAUAACUCUUAUGAAAAGUCAUCUCUUAAGUUCUAUAAAUAUAAAGACUCUCUAUAGGUUGUCUAAGAAAAAUUUGCAUGUAUAAAUAAAAGAUUUUGUAUUUGUUUGUAUUUUUCCAAUAUGUAUACGGGCAAUAUCUCUUUAAAGAAAGUGAUUUUACACGCCUCAAAGCCAUCUUCUUCGUCAAUUAUAUUUCCUAUUAUUUUUUCUAACAAGUAUUAAGUCUUGGAAACUAAUUUAGAAAAAAAGUAAUUAAUGUUAAGGAUAAACCGCUACUGAAAUUUGAACCCUUUAUUUUAUGGUAGAUGGAACACUUAAUGGAAACUAUAAUAAUUCAUAUUCGAAUCAAAUGAAUUCAAUUUAAUAAAUAUUAUUUAAAUUAAUUGAAUUAUAAUUAUCUUUAUUUACAUAAGGCCCGUGCUUAUAAAUUCAACUUUUAGUUUUAAAUUUUUAAAGUGACAAUUCAUGACCAUCUUUAAACACAAACAAAAGUUCAAAUGACCAUAAAUGCAUAAUUAUAUGGCUCAAAAGAUGACCAUAAAUAUAAAAAGGAAAAAUUAUAUAAUUACACGAUUUAAAAUAAUAUAAUUUUAAAAAAUUUCUAUUAUUUAAAUUAAUUGCAAGAAAUUUCUCUUUCCUUCUUUCUCUCUUAACAUCCGAAUACAUCACUCCAUCUCUAUCAGAUACAUUAUAACUUUGUUUGUGUACAUUGUAUCUGGUAUAAUUAAUGUUAUUGUUAAUAUAUAACCCCAAUUAUUUCAAACCUAAAUCAAUAUGAAUCUGUUUUAUAGUUAUGUUAUCUGAUAAUAUAUAACUUAUGUAUCGUUAAAAAAAAUCUUAUGUGUCGUUUUUUGUUAUGUACCGAGCGAAGGAUCAAUGUAUCCGCGAGUUAUGAAAAAUUUGAGAUUAUUUUAAUUUUGAAAAUUUUCGAGAUAAAAUGUAAUUAACGCACAAAAUGUUGCGGUUUCCGUACUUUAUACAUAUAAAAAAAAAACUAUGCUAACUUUUUUUCUCUAAAGCCAAAAUUUUUACUUCACUAUUUUCUCUGAUCAUCUUUAUUUGUGGCUAUUUUAGAAAUAGAUUUUUAUUUUUAUUUGUCACUUUUAACACAUCAAGAUUAAAUAAUUUAUUUUUCAUAUAUUUUACCUUUAAUAUUAAUGACUUAUUUCUCAAAAAAUAAUCACCACGUAAUACUAUAAUAUUAAUUAAUAAAGAUAGUGUGGUAAAAUAGUUAUAUCAAUUAUUACUUUUUAAUAGAUAUGUUAAACUCAACUAUGACAAGUAAAAAUGGAUUGAAGGAAUAUGAUUUCUUCUGUUUUUGGCUGAACACUUUGCCUUUUUAUUUUUUUAGUAUUCAUAGAAAUACAUGUGGCUAAAAGAUAGUUACAAGCUUUAGAUGGUAUGCGACUUAUAUUAAAACAAAAUAUUUACUGCUACAAAAUAGUGGAUAAUUAAAGGUGAUUAUGUCCAAAAGGAUGUGCAAAUAUGGGCAAUUCUCUAGCCUAUUGCUACAAAAUAGUGGAUAAUUAAAGGUCAUUUUGAAAAUCUUACACUUCAGUUUGAUAAACUUAGGUUGAAGUCUUAUAAGUCUGUGUCUAUGCUGAAAGGAAAGUAUGGCCUCCUUGAUAACUUGUAUUCCAAGUUUGGUAGAAACAUUACAAAUAUUCUUAAGAUUAGGAGUAAGAAAUUUGUGACCCUCUUGCACAGGUAAUCCUCUAGCUUUAGCCCAUCUUCUGUUCCCAUCCAUUAUUAUAGCGACGUGUUUAGGGGUAAAUUCUGGAUGAACAGAUUGAUCAUCAUGCCUCAAACUCUUGGAGAAAUGAAGACGACGAUCCAAAUUAUAUGAUACUGGGAAGAACUGGGCUUGGGGGAGUACUAACAAAGAACUCAUUUAAUUUUCACUAAUCUUUGUUUGUUCAUGGGUGUUAGCGGGUACA